GUCAGUGCCCGAAUCUGACAUUAGUCUCUUACCGUGGAGGUGCAGCCGGAAGCAUUGCUGAGGGACCGAUGAUAAAGCUUCACAGGGUCAGAACCUGAGACAACACGAGCUCCAUCGGAAUCAGGAUGAGUCUUCAGAUGAGUCUCAGUUGGACUCUAGCUGUUCUCCUUCUACCUUUGUGGCCUCAUCCUCAGAGUCCUCGGAUAUGAGCCUCCUGUGUGCUGUAAUGCCUUGCCAGUUCCAAAAUGACUACUCCAGCACUAAUGCGCAAACUUCUAACCAUGGCUGCAGUGCAGACACAACCUGAGCCAGAACCAGAACAAAGUCCAGUUUAGUUUUUGGUCUCACUACUCAAAUUCUUUUAUUAUUGAAUUAGAUUAUAACACAGUGUGGACUUCUAAGAGAAAACACUUUUGAAAUUACACACACACACACACACACACACACACACACACACACACACACACACACACACACACACACAAACACACAUACAAAUACACACAUGCAUAUUUUGGUCAAUGACAAAUAAAGCUUCUAAUAAGGUAUUUUGCAAAAGUAUUUUCAAAAUUGAUGGAAUGCAACCACAUUUUUGUAAAAAUAUUUGUGUUAUCCUCCUAUUUAUUCUGAGUGAAUUUUUGUUGCAAGUACAGCGAGAAAUUGCACGUCAGGAUAUUGCACAUUCCGACUUGCCCUGCCCCUAUGUACAGUAGUGCAGUUGGAAUAUAUACAUUAAGGUGCAGAUGAAAUUAAGAGUAGAAUUCCAUCAUCAGUGUUGGCAGUGUUCAGUUCUCGUAUGGCUCUGGAGUAGAAGCUGUUCUUCAGUCUGUUUGUUCGUGAUUUGAUGGACCUGAAGCGUCUGCCAGAGGGCAGCAGGUCAAACAAAUGAUGUCCAGGGUAGGAUGGGUCUUUCAGUAUGUUGGCUGUAUAUUAUGUAGCAUCCGAUUUUUACAUUUGAAUAAAGAAAAAUGAUUAUACAAA